rnacentral:rRNA from 1 species
UGGGGAAUAUUGUACAAUGGAGGGAACUCUGAUGCAGCGACGCCGCGUGAGUGAUGAAGGAAUUCGUUUCGUAAAACUCUGUUCUAUGGGAAGAAAAGGACUGUACCAUAGGAGAAAGCUCCGGCUAAAUACGUGCCAGCAGCCGCGGUAAUACGUAUGGAGCGAGCGUUGUCCGGAAUUAUUGGGCGUAAAGGGUGCGCAGGCGGCUUUACAAGUUGGAUGUGAAAUAUUGUGGCUCAACCACAAACGUGCAUCCAAAACUGCAAAGCUUGAGUUAAGGAGAGGUAAGUGGAAUUCCUGGUGUAGCGGUGGAAUGCGUAGAUAUCAGGAGGAAUACCGGUGGCGAAGGCGACUUACUGGACUUAAACUGACGCUCAGGCACGAAAGCGUGGGGAGCAAACAGG